rnacentral:rRNA from 1 species
ACUCCUACGGGAGGCAGCAGUAGGGAAUCUUCCACAAUGGGCGCAAGCCUGAUGGAGCAACACCGCGUGAGUGCAGAAGGGUUUCGGCUCGUAAAGCUCUGUUGUUAAAGAAGAACACGUAUGAGAGUAACUGUUCAUACGUUGACGGUAUUUAACCAGAAAGUCACGGCUAACUACGUGCCAGCAGCCGCGGUAAUACGUAGGUGGCAAGCGUUAUCCGGAUUUAUUGGGCGUAAAGAGAGUGCAGGCGGUUUUCUAAGUCUGAUGUGAAAGCCUUCGGCUUAACCGGAGAAGUGCAUCGGAAACUGGAUAACUUGAGUGCAGAAGAGGGUAGUGGAACUCCAUGUGUAGCGGUGGAAUGCGUAGAUAUAUGGAAGAACACCAGUGGCGAAGGCGGCUACCUGGUCUGCAACUGACGCUGAGACUCGAAAGCAUGGGUAGCGAACAGGAUUAGAUACCCUGGUAGGAUAGCG